UAUUUUUGUGAAUGAACACUGUUUAUUUUCAUUGUUCUGUUGAAACAUAACUGGCCAUGAGGAAAUAUUACCUUAUUUGAAAACAAGUAAGGGUUUGCAGCAGGAAGGGCAUCCAACUGUAGAAAACCUACCUCAAUAAGCUCCUUCCAAUCCCUGCAGGCAGAAAAAAAUAGUAAUAUCACUCAGAGUUGAUAGAGAACUCUAUAACUAGAAAGCAAGAUGAUUAUAUUGAUAAAGUAAAUGUCAUUGCAGCCGUUAGACUUCAGUUUAACUCCUAAUGAACUCAUCAUGGCAAAUUGAAGUGCAACAAGUAAUUAAAUAUUUGACUGUAGAGUUUAUUUAUUCAUUCAGUACAUGUAUUGUGCAGGCAUGAUUGUGUAAUUAAGAAGUUUUGCUUCUCAUUGGCACAAUUAUGGGCUCACUGCCAUUGCACACAGCACUUUAGACAGGUAUCUUUCAGCCUAGUUCCAGGUUGAUCAAGCCUCAUGGCUUUCAUAGAUGGAAACUGAAGAAAACCCAUUCUUUAUAUGUGUGUGUAUGUAUGUAUAUGGAGUUGUGUGUUUAUGCCCCACCCCACUAGUCUUGGCAUUGCAUCAUAUUUGUAAGCAAGUGUCGCUGUCAUGCAAGUGGUAAAAUUCAUUUCCAAUCUUCCAUGAAAGCAUGCCCAGAAAUGGGAAAAUAUUACUUUGCUUGGAAAAGUAGAGAUUAAAACAAUGAAACAUUGAUGAUUAUGUGUUUAUGUGUGAAUGCAUGUAGAAAUAGGGGAAAUGAAUAAAAGAAUAUAUAAUAGAUAUUCUUCAUUCAAAGCUGAUGAGUGACUGUAUUGCUACUCCAAAUUUCUUAGUUUGUGUAAAACACACACACACACACACACACUCACACACACAUGCAUAUGCAUACAUACAUGCACACACAGAGAGAUAAAUUGAGAGAUAGAUGGAUAGACUUUGUUGUACAAACUUCAGAAAAAGAACUCAACACAUGUAGUACUGCUUGUUUAUUCAUUGUGUAUGUGUGUGUAUACAUAUAUAUGUAUGUAUGUAUAUAUGUGUACAUAUAUAUACCCUAGACACACGCACUCAUGCCCACACAUACACAUGUCCUGUAGCUUUGAGGUUUAGUCAAUGUGCUCUGCAGUAUUUUAUGGUUAGAUACCCUACCUAAAGUUUUAACAUAGUUGUAACGACUUGCUUGGCUGUGUUAAUAUCAACAGUUAUAACAGUAGCAAUCUGUAGCACAUCUAUCUGUUCACUAGUGCCAGCUCUAUGGCCUGUAUGUUUGUUAUUACUUGGCAACCAAUACAUCUUAUCUACAUGGGAACUAUAAGCUGGUUUGUAUUUCUACCUUACCUACACUUGGCUUGUUACAAUGGGCUCUUUUAAGAACAACAUCAGAUAUUAUCUAUUUAAAUAUUGAACUUGACUCUUCAUAUCAAUGCUGGGUGACACAUGGAUGGUGCAGUUAGUCAAUUGAAAUAUUUUUUAGCAGAGAAAACCAUACUUGAGUUUGGAAGAUCUUAAACUUGUCUAUGGAGUUUAAUUCCUUAAUUCAACUAUAUCUCUCAGUCAUCCAAAUCUGAACUCAUCAGUCAUUAAUCUUUACUUAACAAAAACUUGAAUUUGUAGCAGUACAAUGAUAAACUACAAGAUUAUAUCUCUUGUGAUAAAACUAUUUUGUUAAACUGAAUAAUCUAUUUAUAUAGUGAUUUAAUAUGAAAAGCCUUGAUUAAAAAAAAUAUUUGACAAUUAUAUUUUAUUGUUAAGACUAUUUUUUUCUGAAGUUCAUCACACUUCUGCUGGUUGUUUUGAAUUUCUACUUCAGAAACAGAAAAUCAAACAGGGACAUUACCCUUACAUCAAUUAUUUGAUUUCAUUCAAAUGUAGCCCUCUGAAAGUAAUAUAACUAAUUCAAUGCACUAGUAUUCUCUUGUCAUGAGAAACUCUUCUUCCUUUUUGCAACCAUGUUGCUGUUGUUCUGAUUUCCCUGAUUCAAGGAUUCAUGCUUGCUGCAUGCAAAAUAUACAAUUUAUCAAUGAGUUAUUUUGCCAUCCUUCAUAAAGAUGUAAGCUGUGGUUUUAACAGGCAAUGAUAUAAAUUUUAACAACUUUUGUGAAUAGCCCAGAUAAUAAAAUUAAGAUUUCAAGCGUUGUAAUGAAUAGUUGACAUCAUUUGAGAAUUCAUCUGAGAAGAUAAUGAUUUUAAAGGUCUUUACCAGCAUAAGACCUUUCUUCCUCUAUUUACGUUGUUUGUUAUCAAUUAAUUCCAUGUUGUAUCUAUUAAGGAAUAAAAGAAUGUUUACACAAUCUUUCUUUGGAAACUUUUUAAUAAUAACCUUCUGUGUAUCCAAUCCACAGCAGUUAGAUAGACUCUAAUGGAAUUACCAAGAAACAAGAAAAAGAUGACAAAAUACCAAACAGUGAUAAAACUAAUUUUUAAAAAAUAUCUUAUUAAUAUUUUCACCACUAUCAUCAUUAUUAUUGUUGUUGUUAUUAUAUUAUUCAAAAUAUUUGCAUACAUACAUAUUUAUUUAUGUAUAUAUAUAAUUGGUCAGUUGUUCAUAAGUUCGUGAAAAGGUACACUCAAAAAAGUAUUUUUGAGCAGUAAUAUUUAAUGUAGUAAUUGGUUAUAGCCGGUCAGAAAGUUACCGUUGGUUUCAUGUCUAUUUUUGCUCUUAGCAAUAUAGGCGACUUAUCAGACCUGCUGGCCAGAGACCAGACCAGCUACAACCAAAGACUACAUAAAAUAUAAUAUGAUACAAUAUAUUUUAAUAUAUAUAUAUUUGUAAUGUUCUAUAACCAUGUUAGAUUUGAUGGUUUCUAAGAAUUUUCAAGUAAGCACAGUCAAAAGUUAAGUUAAUUUUUAUGGUUAGUACUGAGUGGUGAAAUCAUCAAGUUUGAUUUCCAUACAAAAAUAUUUCAAAAAGACAAGCUUUUCUUGGUGCAUACACACCAUAUAUACAUUUGCAGUUGUGUUUCUAGACUGUAUCAUGUUUCAUAUGAGCCAGAUCUUUCAGUACAAUUAUAAGGAGCUGUUAUGAAUGUAUACAUAUAUAUAUGCACUCCAUGCAUACAUUUGCACUGAGUAGAGCAAACAGUGCCUUUUUGUUGCUUUCUUUUAUGCUUAUCAGUUAUUAAUCUUCCAACAGUAAACAGCUUUUAUGUCUUUGAUUCCAACAUCAAUGUAAUUAUAUAAUUCCGGUAGUUAUUUUAAUUAAAUUAUUCUCACACCAGGCUUGAAGAAGACCUCACAAAUGCUUGGAAAAUCAAUGCUUAUUGAAUUUGAAUUAUCUAAUUAUUAAAAAGGAAAUUCAUAUAAGUGAUAAUUAUUGGUGACAAUUUUGCAUUACUCACAAGCAUACCACAUGCAACUUAUAUUAUUGAUAAUAUGAUCUAGAGCCACAAAUUCUUCAUUUAGGAAAUAUUACCAACUUCAAAGAAUUUUUCUGUUCUAUAUAUGUCUUUUUUUACUUAUCUUUUAUUUAUAUACUUUUCAAAAAAUUUAUUUGUUUAUGAGUUGGGAUAUAUAUAUAUAUAUAUACAUACACGCACACAUACAUAUGCACACACUGAGGUUUACACUGCAGAACAUUCUUUUCAUUAGCUGUCAGAUGGAGAUGACACUAUCUUUCUUGCCAGUUGUGCUGAGCAGCAUUGAUGCUACCAGGGAAUGUCAGAUUCUUUUCCCCCAAUAUAAUAUAUAUAUAUUGAAAUAUAUAAUAAAUAUGUAUGUAAGCAAACAGUAGUACUGAAGAAUAAAAUAAAUGGAGUCAAGCAGAAAUUGGUUAAAACCAAAGCACUGUAUGAUCAGGCUAUGUAAUUAUUUUGUGAAGUUUCAGUAUGCUUUAGAAACUUUAUAUAUUAAUGUAUUGAAAAGACAGGCAAGAGGCUACAGUAUUAGACUAUUUGCUCCUGGUACAUGAGUUUGAGUCACUGCUGAUGUGCUACUGAGCAGAAUCCUUUAUUUUUCCAUUAUAUUAGUUCACUUAUCUCCCAACAAUGAGUACCAGAUUGCAGUCAGAAACACUUUAUACUUAUCCUGUUCUAGCCUUGGGCUAGCAAUGUGUGGAUGCCACCUAGCUAACCAGGCUUUAUGAUUGUUCCCUAUAUAACUGCAUCAGAGUGAAGAUGCAUCCUCUUCCAUGUUGUUCAGUUAAUUAACUGUAGAACUAAUGUUUUUAUUGUAUGCCGACUAAUUAAUUUGUUAACAAGUUAAGAUUUUGUUUUCUAAGAAGGAAACAUUUACAUAAUAAAUAAUAAAUAAGCAUGUGUAAACUAAAAUGGGACAGAAUACAGAAGAAAAAAACAGAAAGAGUGCAGAGAGCCAUCUAUUCAUGUACAUGCUUAUAUCAAUGCAUGCACACACACUGAUUUAUAAUUUAGAAAAAUAUUUAACUCUAUUGAAGAAUUAUUAUUUCUCUUGUAAUUAAAGAUUAUUAAUAAAAGAAAAGACUAUUAUUUUUAUUUUUUAUUAAUCUCUAUUUUAUAUUCUUGUUAAUGUUUUUUUUUACCUCUAUUCUCUGUAUUACCCUGAAAAUCUUACUAACUUUAUCAUCAUUUACAGCUUAAUAUUUGAUUACAGGAGGAGAGAGAGAGAGAGAGACAUUCUAUGGGAAUAUGGCAUUGUCUUAGGAAUAUAUUCAUUGAAUUGUUAAAUCAAGAUUAAUAAUAAUAAUGAUUUCUUACCAAGGCACAAAGCUAGAAAUUUUGGGAUGAAGGAACAGUCAAUUUUAUUCUACCUCAGUACUUGACUGGUACUUAUUUUAGUGAGUGAUGAAAGGCACAGUCAACCUCAAAGAGAUUUGAACUCAGACCAUAAAGAGCUGUAACUAAAUACUGAAAGGCAUUUUCUGCCAACCCACCAACCAAUGAUAAAUUUAUAAAUAUAUAUAUUGUUGAUGUUCAUACUUUAUCCUGUGAACUUGUCUUGAGGUAGUAGUAGUUGUUGUGGUGGUAGUGGGGGCAGGGUGGUGAUGGUGGUAGUAGUAAUGGUUUCAAAUUGUUGCACAAGGCCAGCAAUUUGGGAGUAGGUAGUUAAUUCCAUCACCCCUUGUACUUGACUAGUACUUAAUUUUAUUGACCCUGAAAGGAUG
rnacentral:lncRNA from 1 species